GAUGAACGCUAGCGGCAGGCCUAACACAUGCAAGUCGAGGGGUAGCAGGAUUAAGCUUGCUUAAUAGCUGACGACCGGCGCACGGGUGCGUAACGCGUAUGCAACCUACCUUAUACUGGGGUAUAGCCCGGAGAAAUUCGGAUUAAUCCCCCAUAGUACUAAUGAAUCGCAUGGUUUAUUAGUUAAAGCAUUGCGGUAUAAGAUGGGCAUGCGUCCUAUUAGCUAGAUGGUGAGGUAACGGCUCACCAUGGCUACGAUAGGUAGGGGGCCUGAGAGGGUGGUCCCCCACGCUGGUACUGAGACACGGACCAGACUCCUACGGGAGGCAGCAGUGAGGAAUAUUGGUCAAUGGGCGCAAGCCUGAACCAGCCAUGCCGCGUGCAGGAAGAAUGCCCUAUGGGUUGUAAACUGCUUUUAUUUGGGAAUAAACCUCUUUACGUGUAGAGAGCUGAAGGUACCAAAUGAAUAAGCACCGGCUAACUCCGUGCCAGCCGCCGCAGUAA
rnacentral:rRNA from 1 species